rnacentral:lncRNA from 1 species
GGAAGGACUUCAUCCUGAUUGGUUAGAAGGCAACUCAGGUAGCUCAUUGGUGUUUUUGGAGGAGGAGUCCUCCAUUUUAAGUCGGGCUUGCAGACAGGGUGCCUUCUGGCAGGUUCUGCUUUGGAAGAGAAGUGGUUAACAAUAGCUUCCGACAAAAAGACCCCUGGUGCACAGUGGUUUGUUUUUGUUUUUGUUUUUGUUUUGUUUUGCGUGGGGCUUGUUCCCGUAGUCCCUGGCUCAAUUUCUGCACUAUAUCUCCUUUUUGGGGAGUGGGGUGGGGCCUCAGGGCCUGAGGGGUCCAGAAGAAGAAAGGAAGCAGAGAGGAUCCUGGAGAUUUUCUGCGAGACAGCUGGAGGAAAUCCUGUGUACUCUGCAUUCAACGUGAUUCCCAAACAAAGUGGAUCUGAACUGAUGCCUUUCUGGGGGAAGAGCCUAUUUUCCAUCUGGGAAAGUGCCUCUUUGUGUGGUGUGAGGAAACAGCAGUCCAUAGUACCUCAGGCAGCUUGUGAGGUAAGAUGCCCCGGCUUCACGGCGUGUAACUCCUGAUGCUUUCUCUUUUAAUGUAAGUAUUUGAUUCCAUUCGAGGCCACUGGCCUCAUAUAAAGCUGCCUCUGAGCCAGUGUCAGAGAGAUUCAUCUCCCCAUGAUCUUCUUUCUCCUGACACACCAUCUGUCUCUCUCCUUAGAGAGACACAGAGGAGAAACAGAGGUGGAAUUUAAUCACCGAGGUCUCUAGGCUACUGAACUCCCGACUUCUAAGCCCUAGCUCAGCUCUUGAAUCCCUCUGCUGUGGAAAGGAAGAAAAGAAUCAUUUUUACACUUAACUAAAGCCGUACUUUUUAAAGACGAUCGAUUCUUCUUUCCAUCCUUGUCAUCAUCAAAUUAAACCAAAAUGAUGCCGUUGAUGAUACUUUCAGCAAACACAAGAGUGCUAGACUCCUUCCUGUCUCCAGACUCCUCAGCUUUGUUUACAUGACUUAGGUUUCUGCCCUUGACAGGAAUCGGCCUGAGGGGGUAGAAUAAGGUAGAAGCCUUAGCACAGUGCCUGACUCAGAGUAGGUGUUCAGUAUAUGGCCUCUAGCCUAGCCCCAUUCAAAUCCUCUUUGAUUAGGAGGAAACCACAAAAGGCAGGAUAGAGGAUUUGUUCCAGGGUCACUGAGGGAUUUUGGAGGAGGAGAGUAGACUUUGAAUUGUCUCCAUGGUAGUUUUAGAAGGAUCCGGGUAAUGUUGCCCUUAGAUCAAAGAGAGAAGAAAUCCUGCCUUGAGCCUUAGAGUAGGCGUAGGCAAAGCUUUUUUUGUAAAGGGCAAAAUAGUAAAUAUUUUGGGAUUUGUGGGCCACAUAGAGUCUCUAUCACAUACUCUUUCUUUGUAAUUUUUACAAGCUUUUGAAACCACGAAACUAUCCUUAGCUUAAAGCCAUACAAAAACAAGUUGUGGGCUGUAUUUGACCCACAGGCCAUAGUUCACUCAUCCUGGCCACCUAGAUUCUCUAGGGCCAGGGAGGGGUCAGAGGAUGUUGUCUAAGGGGAGAGAGGUGAGGGCACAGCUUGGUGUGAUGGCCGAUGUCCACAUAAAUGUUUGUGAAGCUGUGUGUGGUUAAAGGUCCACACUGCAUGGGAAGAGAUGAGGCGGGUUGUGGGGGAGGGUCUUGCAGCCAGUUCUCCACAUGCUAUCUUGCUCUGAUGUAGAACUCCAGAGUAUCUGAGAAUUUUAAAUUUAAAACUAGACUUCAUGUGGGGCACCUGGGUGGCUCAGUCAGUUAAGCAUCUGACUUUGGCUCAGGUCAUGAUCUCAUGGUUCAUGAGUUGGAGCGCCACAUGGGGCUCUGUGCUAACAACUCAGAGCCUAGAGCCUACUUCAGAUUCUGUGUCUCCUUCUUUUUCUCUGCCCCUGCCUACUUAUGUGCUCUCUUCCCCCCCCCCCCACCUUUCUCUCUCUCAAAAAUAAAUAAACUUAAAAAAAAACA